rnacentral:rRNA from 1 species
AUCUACCUCUAGCUGGGGUAUAGCUGGAAGAAAUUCUAAUUAAUCCCCCAUAAUAUGAAGGCUCUGCAUGGAGCCCUCAUUAAAGCCUUGGCGGCAAGAGAUGAGCCUGCGCCUGAUUAUGUUAGUUGGAGAGGUAAUAGCUCACCAAGACUAUGAUCAGUAGGGGACCUGAGAGGGUGAACCUCCACACUGGAACUGAGAUACGGCCCAGACUUCUACGGAAGGCAGCAGUGAGGAAUAUUGGUCAAUGGAGGUAACUCUGAACCAGCUACGCCGCGUGAAGGAUGAAAGCCUUUUUGGCUGUAAACUUCUUUUGUUUAGAAAUAAAAUCUCCUACGUGAUAGGAGCCUGAAGGUACUAUACGAAUAAGUGUCGGCUAAUUCCGUGCCAGCAGCCGCGGUAAGACGGGAGACACCAGCGUUAUUCGGAUUUAUUGGGUUUAAAGGGUGUGUAGGCUGUUUUUUAAGUCAGUAGUGAAAGCUUACAGCUUAACUGUAAAAUUGCUAUUGAUACUGUAAAACUUGAGUAAGAUUGGAGCAUCUGGAAUGUAUGGUGUAGCGGUGAAAUGCAUAGAUAUCAUACAGAACACCAAUAGCGAAGGCAGGAUGCUAAAUCUUUACUGACGCUGAGGCACGAAAGCGUGGGUAGCAAACAGGAUUAGAUACCCUGGUAGUCCACGCCCUAAACGAUGAUCACUAGCUAUUGGAAAUAUUAUAUUCAGUGGCUAAGCGAAAGCGAUAAGUGAUUCACCUGGGGAAUAUAAUCGCAAGAUUGAAACUCAAAGGAAUUGACGGGGUUCCGCACAAGCGGUGGAGCAUGUGGUUUAAUUCGAUGAUACGCGAGGAACCUUACCAAGGCUUAAAUGUAUUACGAAUAAACUGGAAACAGUUUAGUCUUAUGACGGAAUACAAGGUGCUGCAUGGUUGUCUUCAGUUCGUGCUGUGAAGUGUUUGGUUCAGUCCUAUAACGAGCGCAACCCCUAUUGUUAGUUGCCAUCAGGUAAUGCUGGGGACUCUAACAAAACUGCCGGCGCAAGCCGUGAGGAAGGUGGGGAUAAUGUCAA